UCCUACGGGAGGCAGCAGUGGGGAAUAUUGCACAAUGGACGGAAGUCUGAUGCAGCAACGCCGCGUGCGGGAUGACGGCCUUCGGGUUGUAAACCGCUUUCACCAGGGGCGAAUUUGACGGUAUCUGGAGAAGAAGCACCGGCUAAUUACGUGCCAGCAGCCGCGGUAAU
rnacentral:rRNA from 1 species